AUAAGUAGGGCCAUCGGCUUUAAUAAACGCCCUUGGCAGCUUAAUAUCUGAUACGCGCCUCAUCGAGGUGCCAGUAUAUUAAACUGAUUUUUGGAAAAUGACGGAGUGCUAGGGGCUUGCUCCAUCUCUGUCGCGGGUUGACCCGGUAUUGCAGUACCUCCGGGACCGGCCCACCUAAU
rnacentral:snRNA from 1 species